rnacentral:rRNA from 1 species
UACGUAGGGGGCGAGCGUUGUCCGAAGUUACUGGACGUAAAGAGCGCGUAGGCGGUUACUUAAGUCUGGGGUGAAAGGUUCAACGCUCAACGUGAACAGUGCCUUGGAUACUGGGUGACUUGAGUGAGGGAGAGGGCAGUGGAAUUCCUGGUGUAGCGGUGAAAUGCGUAGAUAUCAGGAGGAACACCCGUGGCGAAGGCGAUCAUCUGGGGUUGUUCUGACGCUG